AUUGAACGCUGGCGGCAUGCCUAACACAUGCAAGUCGAACGGGGGUAGCAAUACCCUAGUGGCGGACGGGUGAGGAAUACGUAGGAAUUUGCCCUUAAGUGGGGGAUAACCCGGGGAAACCCGGACUAAUACCGCAUGAUCUCGUGAGAGCAAAGCAGGGGACCGCAAGGCCUUGCGCUUUUGGAGAAGCCUACGUCGGAUUAGCUAGUUGGUGGGGUAAUGGCCCACCAAGGCUACGAUCCGUAACUGGUCUGAGAGGAUGAUCAGUCACACCGGAACUGAGACACGGUCCGGACUCCUACGGGAGGCAGCAGUGGGAAAUAUUGGACAAGGGGCGAAAGCCUGAUCCAGCAAUGCCGCGUGUGUGAAGAAGGCCUUCGGGUUGUAAAGCACUUUAGGCUGGAAAGAAAAAGCUUUGGCUAAUAUCCAAAGCCUUGACGGUACCAGCAGAAUAAGCACCGGCUAACUCUGUGCCAGCAGCCGCCGUAACAC
rnacentral:rRNA from 1 species